CCUACGGGGGGCAGCAGGGAGGAAUAUUGGGCAAUGGGCGGAAGCCUGAACCAGCCAAGUAGCGGGAGGGAUGAAGGUUCUAUGGAGGGUAAACCUCUUUUAUAAGGGAAUAAAGUGCGGGACGUGUCCCGUUUUGUAUGUACCUUAUGAAUAAGGAUCGGCUAACUCCGUGCCAGCAGCCGCGGUAAUCCGGAGGAUCCGAGCGUUAUCCGGAUUUAUUGGGUUUAAAGGGUGCGUCGGCUGCCUUUUGAGUCAGCGGUGAAAGUCUGUGGCUCAACCAUAGAAUUGCCGUUGAAACUGGGAGGCUUGAGUAUGUUUGAGGCAGGCGGAAUGCGUGGUGUAGCGGUGACAUGCUUAGAUAUCACGCAGAACCCCGAUUGCGAAGGCAGCCUGCCAAGCCAUGACUGACGCUGAUGCACGAAAGCGUGGGGAUCAAACAGGAUUAGAUACCCGAGUAGUC
rnacentral:rRNA from 1 species